rnacentral:lncRNA from 1 species
AAUACUUCGUAAAACAGAAUGAGGACUGUCCAUGGUUUUCAGAGCACUGAGCAGUGGGACAGCCUGCCUUGCCUUUUUUUUUGCUACCAUUGUAUACAGGACUGCUUUGUCUCAGCCGACAGAACCAGCAAGCCAGAAAGAUGUGUAUCUUCAGUGCACUGGUGUAACUGAGCUAAAUGCCAAGUGAGCUCCCUGCUGUGCGCCGGCCAUCCACCUGCCAC